GAAUCCUUGCUUACAACAAAUUGCCGUCAGUGCUGCAAGGAGAACACUGUGCCUACAAGCUUUGUACAUAAAGAUAGUGCUCCAAGGGAGGACAGCUUCAGAAUGGGCCACAUCAGUCCACGCAUCACAUCAGUCGGACCAGAUCAAUCUGAGAGUGACGCCAUCGUGCACGGACCUGCUGAGGAACCAUGCCAGGCUGUGUGCAUUCA
rnacentral:lncRNA from 1 species